CUUAUAUAAAUCUUCAAAUUAUUGAGUAAGUUUGCAAAUGGUACUCAAGCAAAAAUCCUUUUCUUUCCUAC
rnacentral:lncRNA from 1 species